UGCAAGUCGAGGGGCAGCGCGGAGGUAGCAAUACUUCUGGCGGCGACCGGCGGAAGGGUGCGUAACGCGUGAGCAACGUGCCCGCAUCUGGGAGAUAAGCACUGGAAACGGUGUCUAAUAUCCCAUAACAACAGAGAUUACAUGGUCUUUGUUUAAAAGCUACGGCGGAUGCGGAUCGGCUCGCGUGACAUUAGCUAGUCGGCGGGGUAACGGCCCACCGAGGCGACGAUGUCUAGGGGUUCUGAGAGGAAGGUCCCCCACACUGGAACUGAGACACGGUCCAGACUCCUACGGGAGGCAGCAGUGAGGAAUAUUGGUCAAUGGGCGCGAGCCUGAACCAGCCAAGUAGCGUGAGGGAAGACUGCCCUAUGGGUUGUAAACCUCUUUAGUCUGGGAAUAAAGUCGGCGACGUGUCGCCGUUUGUAGGUACCAGAAGAAUAAGGACCGGCUAAUUCCGUGCCAGCAGCCGCGGUAAUACGGAAGGUCCGGGCGUUAUCCGGAUUUAUUGGGUUUAAAGGGAGCGCAGGCGGCCUGUUAAGCGGGCAGUUAAAGGCGGUGGCCCAACCAUCGUUAGCUGUCCGAACUGCCGGGCUUGAGUACGUGCGAGGUAUGCGGAAUUCGUGGUGUAGCGGUGAAAUGCUUAGAUAUCACGAAGAACCCCGAUUGCGAAGGCAGCAUACCAGUGCGCCACUGACGCUAAAGCUCGAAAGCGUGGGGAGCAAACAGGAUUAGAUACCCUGGUAGUCCACGCGGUAAACGAUGAAUACUAGGUGCUGGGCCCGUAGAGGGGUCAGUGCCGCAGCAAACGCACUAAGUAUUCCACCUGGGGAGUACGUUCGCAAGAAUGAAACUCAAAGGAAUUGACGGGGACCCGCACAAGCGGUGGAGCAUGUGGUUUAAUUCGAAGCAACGCGAAGAACCUUACCAGGCCUUGAGAUCCGGAUGACCGUCCUGUAAUGAGGACUUUCCUUCGGGACAUCCGAGACAGGUGGUGCAUGGUUGUCGUCAGCUCGUGUCGUGAGAUGUUGGGUCAAGUCCCGCAACGAGCGCAACCCUUAUGGUCAGUAGCCAGCGAGUAAAGUCGGGCACUCUGACAAGACUGCCGGGGAUAACCCGGAGGAAGGUGGGGAUGACGUCAAAUCAUCAUGCCCCUUAUGGCCUGGCUACACACGUGCUACAAUGGCGUCGACAAAGAGAAGCGAUCCCGUGAGGGGGAGCAAAUCCCAAAAACGGCGUCUCAGUUCGGACUGUAGUCUGCAACCCGACUACACGAAGCUGGAAUCGCUAGUAAUCGCGAAUCAGAAUGUCGCGGUGAAUACGUUCCCGGGUCUUGUACACACCGCCCGUCACACCAUGGGAGUCGGUAACGCCCGAAGUCAGUGGUCCAACCGCAAGGA
rnacentral:rRNA from 1 species